UAAAAGGCCCUUUUUAGGGCCACACAAAUUAUUCAAAAAGAGUUAA
rnacentral:ncRNA from 1 species